CGGGAUAGCUCAGCUGGUAGAGCAGAGGACUGAAAAUA
rnacentral:tRNA from 1 species